rnacentral:rRNA from 1 species
AUUGAACGCUGGCGGCAGGCUUAACACAUGCAAGUCGAGCGGAGAUGAGGUGCUUGCACCUUAUCUUAGCGGCGGACGGGUGAGUAAUGCUUAGGAAUCUGCCUAUUAGUGGGGGACAACAUUCCGAAAGGAAUGCUAAUACCGCAUACGUCCUACAGGAGAAAGCAGGGGAUCUUCGGACCUUGCGCUAAUAGAUGAGCCUAAGUCGGAUUAGCUAGUUGGUGGGGUAAAGGCCUACCAAGGCGACGAUCUGUAGCGGGUCUGAGAGGAUGAUCCGCCACACUGGGACUGAGACACGGCCCAGACUCCUACGGGAGGCAGCAGUGGGGAAUAUUGGACAAUGGGGGAACCCUGAUCCAGCCAUGCCGCGUGUGUGAAGAAGGCCUUAUGGUUGUAAAGCACUUUAAGCGAGGAGGAGGCUACUGAGACUAAUACUCUUGGAUAGUGGACGUUACUCGCAGAAUAAGCACCGGCUAACUCUGUGCCAGCCGCCGCGGUAAUAC